rnacentral:rRNA from 1 species
UGUAGUCAUAUGCUUGUCUCAAAGAUUAAGCCAUGCAUGUCUAAGUAUAAGCAAUUAUACCGCGAAACUGCGAGUGGCUCAUUAUAUAAGUUAUCGUUUAUUUGAUAGCACAUUUACCUACUUGGAUAACCGUGGUAAUUCUAGAGCUAAUACAUGCUAAAAAUCCCGACUUCGGAAGGGAUGUAUUUAUUAGAUUAAAAGCCAACGCCCUUCGGGGCUUCUUGGUGAUUCAUGAUAACUGGUCGAAUCGCAUGGCCUUGCGCCGGCGAUGGUUCAUUCAAAUUUCUUCCCUAUCAACUUUCGAUGCGAAGGUCUUGUCUUCGCAUGGUUGCAACGGGUAACGGAGGGUUAGGGCUCGACCCCGGAGAAGGAGCCUGAGAAACGGCUACUCCAUCCAAGGAAGGCAGCAGGCGCGCAAAUUACCCAAUCCCGACACGGGGAGGUAGUGACAAUAAAUACUGAUACAGGGCUCUUUUGGGUCUUGUAAUCGGAAUGAGUACAAUUUAAAUCCCUUAACGAGGAACAAUUGGAGGGCAAGUCUGGUAAUCG